UGACCGCUGUCGGCAGGCCUACCACAUGCACGUCGCACGGUAACAGGAAGAAGCUUGCUUCUUUGCUGACGAGUGGCGGACGGGUGAGUAAUGUCUGGGAAACUGCCUGAUGGAGGGGGAUAACUACUGGAAACGGUAGCUAAUACCGCAUAACGUCGCAAGACCAAAGAGGGGGACCUUCGGGCCUCUUGCCAUCGGAUGUGCCCAGAUGGGAUUAGCUAGUAGGUGGGGUAACGGCUCACCUAGGCGACGAUCCCUAGCUGGUCUGAGAGGAUGACCAGACACACUGGAACUGAGACACGGUCCAGACUCCUACGGGAGGCAGCAGUGGGGAAUAUUGCACAAUGGGGGCAAGCCUGAUGCAGCCAUGCCGCGUGUAUGAAGAAGGCCUUCGGGUUGUAAAGUACUUUCAGCGGGGAGGAAGGGAGUAAAGUUAAUACCUUUACUCAUUGACGUUACCCGCAGAAGAAGCACCGGCUAACUCCGUG
rnacentral:rRNA from 1 species